ensembl:lncRNA
UACAAAAAUAAAUUAUGACUUGACCUGAUUUAAUAGUUUGCAUUUUUCUUUACAGGUUCCUCUUCUGACAGAAUAUUCUGGCCCGUCCAUCCCCAGAGCACCAACCAGGACCCCCAACAGGACCAAGGAUAUACCCAGGUUCAGUUACUUGAUGCUGGGUAUACAGGUCAGCUAUAUGAUUCUGCUGAUGUUUCUGCUGGGUCAUUAGAUGGGGUGUAUACUGAGAUUGAACUAUGUUCAAUGUCGGCAUAGAAGUUGGACAAAAAAGGUCCUUGAGGGGAACAUGGAUGUGAUAUUUUCACAUUCUCCAUGUAGGAUGCAGUCCUACACAGAAGUGUGAGCAGAGCUCUGCACGAACACACACACACACACACACACACACACCUUUGAUGAAGGAUUUUUAUCGCUAUUUACUUACAGAAAGUACAUAUUUCAUAUGUUGCCUUUUAAGUCACAUGAUUUAACCAUUUGUGAUUGGCAUUCCAAGUGAUUUUUGAGGUGCUGGCUUAUUUAGCUCCUAAUAGGCUUUUUGUUCAAAAGGCAUAAAAGUCCUGUCAUGUUUUAGGUCACAUGAGAAAUUGUACACAAAUAUUAACGGUUAGUACUUAUACCAUGAUUGACAUUAUCCGCCUCUAAAGCGACACUUUGCUUUGUAAUGUGGUUGUAAAUAUGUCGUAAUGUUUCAUAUUUGACUCAUUAAUAUGCUCUGUUAAGGUGGUUGAAUAAAAUAUCUUUAUAUAAGUG